UCAUUCUAAAACAUGUCAUUUGAAAUAAAAAACUAAACGCACACUCCAGCUCCUCCUUCCCGAUCUCACUCUACUGCUCACUCCUCUUUACCCCUGCUUUCACGCUGCUGCUCGCUCCGGCCAUCCUUCCGUCUCCGAAGGCACCUGAAUAUUUGAUGACAACAGCUGGAUUCUUGAUCCUUUGAGAUAGUCAUAGCAAGGGUGCAGUGGGUAACAGCUUGGUCAAUAACAAGCCGCAACAUAGCCAGUAGUUCCCUCCCAUUUUUGACAAAUUUGGCAGAAGCUUUGGGGUGGCCGUUAAACCGGUACCAGACCUUGGCACUUUUGAUAUUCUCCUCUUUUCUUGCGCUUGAUCUCUGGUUUUGGGAGCUCUUUUUCGGUACCUCUGUGAAUUGGCUUUCAAAUAUCAGCUCAGAAAUUGUUCAAUAUGUUGAUAGUGCUAGGUGAUUGACAAUUACAGCUUGUCCAUGUUUGUAGCGAAAUUGAUGCAAAGCCUUGUAAAUGUUACACAGUCAGGUCUUAUCCAAGCAGGAGAAGUGCUUCAUUCUAAUGUAAUUUAGUGAUAUAUAUAUGAAACCACAAUUUGUUAUCAUUACUUUAAUUUAUUUGUAAGAGUAAUAAUAUUGGUAUCCAGCAUAAAAUCUGAAAUAGUUGCAUUGAGGACAAUAAGAUUAUAUUAUUGGUUUCAAUUCAAA